UCGAGCGAACGGACGAGAAGCUUGCUUCUCUGAUGUUAGCGGCGGACGGGUGAGUAACACGUGGAUAACCUACCUAUAAGACUGGGAUAACUUCGGGAAACCGGAGCUAAUACCGGAUAAUAUUUUGAACCGCAUGGUUCAAAAGUAAAAGACGGUCUUGCUGUCACUUAUAGAUGGAUCCGCGCUGCAUUAGCUAGUUGGUAAGGUAACGGCUUACCAAGGCAACGAUGCAUAGCCGACCUGAGAGGGUGAUCGGCCACACUGGAACUGAGACACGGUCCAGACUCCUACGGGAGGCAGCAGUAGGGAAUCUUCCGCAAUGGGCGAAAGCCUGACGGAGCAACGCCGCGUGAGUGAUGAAGGUCUUCGGAUCGUAAAACUCUGUUAUUAGGGAAGAACAUAUGUGUAAGUAACUGUGCACAUCUUGACGGUACCUAAUCAGAAAGCCACGGCUAACUACGUGCCAGCAGCCGCGGUAAUACGUAGGUGGCAAGCGUUAUCCGGAAUUAUUGGGCGUAAAGCGCGCGUAGGCGGUUUUUUGAGUCUGAUGUGAAAGCCCACGGCUCAACCGUGGAGGGUCAUUGGAAACUGGAAAACUUGAGUGCAGAAGAGGAAAGUGGAAUUCCAUGUGUAGCGGUGAAAUGCGCAGAGAUAUGGAGGAACACCAGUGGCGAAGGCGACUUUCUGGUCUGU
rnacentral:rRNA from 1 species